rnacentral:ncRNA from 1 species
GUAAAUGCGAUGAAGCGGAGCAGUAGGCAAUGAGGGCUUUCAGAGAGUCGUUGGCAGGUGCGAAACGGCAGCCUGACUUGCUGAAACUCGCCGCAGAGCAGGCGCACUGAAAUAAGUAGGUGCGCACGGCUUGCCGCCGUUACAGGCUUUGAGAGGGCGCUUUUGCGCCAAAAAGAGUGGUACCGCGGAAGAUGUGGGUCUUUCGUCUCUUUG